ACACACCGCUGCUUACAAUUGUCAUGUCCGUGUGCCAGUGGGCGACCAUUUAAGGGUUAGGGGACAAGGCAAAGACAACUCGGAUCAUCCCCCGCUGGAGUCCAAAUCCGAACCAAAACCAAGUGGAGAAGUCAUGCAGACGCAGCUUAAAAUAUCGAAAACGUAAGGAAAUUACAAAGUGUCUAAGAAUGGCUGAAAUAUCUUCAGAAACUGUUGUGGCACCGAAAGUCGCCUACCCGAAAACGAUAACUAAGAUGACUAACUAAAAGAGCACUGUACUAUGAAGGACUUGGUUUUGAAAUAAACUGUUCAGCUGGGUUUUUAAUUUAUUAAAACCAUAUCGGGAAAUAUUAAUGUUAGUUGCAUAUCCUAAAGGAACCACUGAACUUGAAAACAUGGUUUCAGGUUUGAUUGAUAGCUGUAAUGGCACCGCUUUAGGCCCGGCUUGAAGCUUCGCAUCCUUUUCUGGCCAGAGGAACUCACCACAGAGUCCUUGCAGCGAAGCUUUCACUCAUUGCUCCUUGCUGCUGCACACUCGCGUUAUCCUGGCGAUGAGUGGCAGGAAAGCCGAGGACCUUCGGUUGACCGUCGUGUUUGGUCCUCGUCUGCUGGCCUUUAUUUCAUCUGGUCGUCGGUUCAUCUCCUGCUGAUGCCUUUGGCUUUGUGUAGCGCAACUCUUCCAUUUGAUUUCUUUGGGGGCUUCAUCCGUCCUUUCUACUGGCGACGUUCUGCCUUAGCCAAAGACCAGAAAGUGGGUCACUUCAACGAGCAGGACUCGAAUUCUUUGGCUCCAUCUGAGACUGCAACUCAAGCCGACUGAGUCCUGACUUCUGAGUCCUGUUCCUGUUAAGCAAACCAUGCUGGGGUCUGUGUCUCAGCACACAGAGGAAAAUAAUACAAAUAAUGCGUACUUUUAAAUGCUUACACUUCUUUUUUUUUUAAAUUUUGAACAUUUCAUGAAUAGGUGACAACUCUGGUUACGCUUAGCCAUUUUUCGUGUGUCUUUUCUUUCCUAAUCUCUGGUCACACUAUAGUUUACAUUUGGGAAGCUUAAAAAAAAAACAAAACCAUGGUGAUUCGCGAAUUGCUUGCUUUUUACCAAUAAGGGGCCCAAUCUAUGCGAUAAUUCCUGGGAAAUUUGCCACAAUGUAUUCCCAAAGAGGUAGCCGAAAUUUCAACAUCAUUUUGGGAUCAUUGAUCAACGGAAACCACGACGUUAGACUCGACAACGUAAUCACAAUUGCAAACGCCGCUACUAUUGAUCAACAAUGGAUUCCAAGCGAGGGCGUGAUUUCAGCUGUACGUAGUCUUCAGAGUCCAACUGCACUUGAGGGGUUUUAAUUUGCAACUUAAGGAAAUGUAAUAUAAUGGCGAACUUUAAAUUUUUGAUAAUGCCAGCAACAGAGUCAACUGCUUGGCAACCACCAAAGGAUAAGUUUGAGCAGCAGCCAGAAACAGGCUCAUUCGUCCUUCGCGUGACAUGCGUGUGCGGGCACAUACCUUGGUUCCUUCUCAUCCUUUCGGCGCUUCCACACGAAAUGACAUCGAAUAAUUGAAGAUACAUCUCCAACUACAGCCGUGGAAUUUCUUCUCUAAGGAUCUGGUGAUAAUUAUGAAUUUGCCUUGCGAAUUCAUAAAAACCCUGCUCUGCGUUCCAAAUUAGUCAGCUAAAAAGCGAGAAUCGCCCCAUUUAGCCUAAGAAUAUGCAUUAAAGCUAAACUUCAUCCGCAUCUCCAACUUUGGCUCCAUCUUCAGCUCCAUCGUCGUCGCCUUGAAUUUUGCGUAGUUGUUUUGCCCCAAACCACCAACGCCCAGCCUUUUAACCCCUUAAUGCCUCCUUUGGCCGCCUUUUACUUGAGUUGUGUGCAACAUUUUAAUGAAAUUGUCGAAUCUUCUCGAGCAAUGAGUGGAGGUCGGCGAAGAAGUUGCAACUGGCACUGAAUUCGAUUUGAGGAAUCGCUGAAAUCUAUUACAUAAAUUUUAGGCAAACGCAUUUGCAAAUGUACGCAUUUGUAUAAGUGCAGUUGAAUACAAAUGUAUCUAGUGCACUUAGUUACAGAUAAAAAUGUCUUGUACAUUGUCAAAAUAAAUGUUCAUAUACUUCAUUUCAAAUGCUA
rnacentral:sRNA from 13 species